UGGGAUGUAGCUCAGUGGUAGAGUACUCCCUAGCAUGUACAAGGACCUGGGUUCAAAUCUCAGCACCGUAG
rnacentral:tRNA from 1 species